AGAGCAUUCAGACUCCAAGGUUGGCCCUAGGGAGCAGCUGACAUUAGAGGGGGAGUUGAACCUGUGAACUUUUGGCUUAAAAGUAAGAGUUCAACUCUUCCCCCAGUUCUCUCUGGUGUUGCAAUGCUGGCCAAAGCUGGCUGCUGUACUCUGCGUAAGACCGGAAACCCCAAAUUGGGUUUACAUCUCUCUGGCCGAGGUACCUUCCCCAGCUCCACCUCCAGUUGUUCCAUGGGGGUUUGAGGUGUGGAGGAGGAGUCAACGGAGCUUGGUGUCUCUCUGGCUGAGGGAGCAUCUUAGAGUAAAGCUAGAUUGUGGCUCCUUGCUCCACUUUCUCAAGUUAUCAAAGUGUGCGCUCCUCCACUCUUCUGCAAAGAACUAUAUGUCUCAUCUGAAGGUUAGUGGGGGUGGUUGCAGCUUCAGGAAGGCUCUCCAGCAUGGUGGGGGCAAUGGGAGAAUAUCGAAGUGGGAGUCAGGAUGCCUAAAUCUGAGUAUUGGGUCUGUGCUCGGAGAACUUAGGUGAGUCAUGGACAUCUGUAUAUAGCAUGUUGGGGUUUUAAAUCUUGUAUGUACAUGAUUUUAUAUAGUCUUUACAACAGCCUUCUUCAUGGGACAUUAUUUCACUGUUCUAUCCCAUUUUAUAGAGAAGGCAAGAGAGUCUUGAGGAGUUUAGGGGACUGCAGUGUCCCCCGGGUACAUGGCAGUGCUUGACCUCGGUGCUUCUUUCCCACAAAUGUUCACUUUAUAGCCCAGGUCCCAGGUUUCCUCUCUGGAAACAAGAAUAUUGGACCAUCUCGACAAUCUGGUCCUAUUCUGACAUUCUGUGGUUCUGUGGAGUAAGUCAUAUGCAUCUUCUCUCUAAUGCUGUGUCUUUAGUACCUGAGUUUAAGAUGCCUUUGCCACAUUGUGAGACAGAGAGACACAGCAAAGGAAGCAGUAACAGGAUCAUUAUCACCUUCAGAGGGAGGAGUCAUAGCAUGAGAAGGGAACUGGCUUGGAGCCAGACCAAGGCAGGCUGAAAUCUUGACUCUUCCAUGUAUUAACACUGAGACUUUGAACAAAUCACUCAACCUCUUUGAGAUAGAUAUUGCUUCCUCUCCUGAAUUUUCAAAUGGAGGCAAUGACACCAACUUUGCAGGUAGAUGGUUGUGAAUGUCAUGUGAAAUUAUUUUAAAAAGGCUGACAUGCUUAUUACCUGUUAGGUAGGUAGUGGUGUUUCUUAAAAGUUAAUUCUCUUUCCUCACUUUUUUGGUGGAUAUGAAUAUCAAGCCUGUUGUCAACAAUAAGGAUUUGCUCAAUUUCUGGUGGUCAUGACAAAAUAUGCUAUAUUGACUGGAAAGGGGCCUAAGACCAUUGGCCUUAUGCAUUGGUGUGUGCUCAGGGGCAAAGAAGAACAAAUACGUUUUAUUUGGUUGGAGUGAGAGUGAAUGGACACAGCCAGAAAUGCCCCUACAUGUGAAAAAUAAUUUUGGGGACCAUUAUGUAUCUUAAAUCGUGUAAAUUAUGCACAUUCUUCCAUAAUA
rnacentral:lncRNA from 1 species